rnacentral:rRNA from 1 species
CCUACGGGGGGCAGCAGUGAGGAAUAUUGGUCAAUGGCCGCGAGGCUGAACCAGCCAAGUCGCGUGAGGGAAGACGGCCCUACGGGUUGUAAACCUCUUUUGUCGGGGAGCAAAGCGAACCACGUGUGGUUCAUUGAGAGUACCCUAAGAAAAAGCAUCGGCUAACUCCGUUCCAGCAGCCGCGGUAAUACGGAGGAUGCUAGCGUUAUCCGGUUUUAUUGGGUUUAAAGGGUGCGCAGGCGGAGGUGCAAGUCAGCGGUAAAAUUGCGGGGCUCAACCCCGUACUGCCGUUGAAACUGCAUCCCUUGAGUGCGCGAGAAGUAGGCGGAAUGCGUGGUGUAGCGGUGAAAUGCAUAGAUAUCACGCAGAACUCCGAUUGCGAAGGCAGCAUACCGGCGCGCAACUGACGCUGAUGCACGAAAGCGUGGGUAUCGAACAGGAUUAGAUACCCUUGUAGUC